rnacentral:lncRNA from 1 species
CAGACUAAGUAAGUACCCAUUAUCUAAAAUACAGAGUCCAAAACUUUGAGUACAGACACAGAGUCACAGAUGGAAUCCACACCUCGCUUCAUGAGGAGGGUGGUUUGAUACAUUAAGAGCAUUGUGUGACAUUCCCUUCAGUCUAACUUGCCUAGGUAACAAAUGUUUAUCCUUGGUUCCCAUCCCCAAGAUACCUUAUUGCAUAUUUGCAGAUAUCCCUAUAUCUCAACAUUUAACCUAUAGCAUGAUAUAGAGCACUUAUUGUAUAUUGAUAUCAGUUGUAGGGAUUCAAGUCAAAUGAUACCCAAUGCAGGGUUUCCAGUAGAAUACGCAAGUAGUCUACUGCUGAGCUCUGCCCCAGCCCUGCUUCUAACAAAAGAAGAUGAUCACCACCAUCACCCUACCUGUCAGGUCAUCAGCUUCCAGAUCAUUCCCUUCAGCCCUUCACUCACCUUACCCAGACUUCCAGACCCUGUCUCUACCCAUCCUUCAUAAAAAAAGGAAGAGUGCAUGGAACAGUAUUGGUGCUCUUCACAGGGGCAUCCUAACCCCCUGACCUCAGUCACAUUCAUCUGGGAAAGACCUUGCUUAAGCUGCCUACCUGGUACCUGCACCCAAGCAAGACAAAUUAACAACCAUGUUGAGUGAUAUCAUCUCAGACCUAUGGCCACAUGGCUCUGGUAAGCACUGGAUACUGACAAGCCACUCCAAGUAUAGCAAAUCCAUUGUCCUAACCUCGUUACUGUUCUCUUCUCUCUUCUCAUUCAUCAGAUUUCUAACAUUGCCAACUCUCCCCUCACUCCUGGAGACAGUAAGUAGAUAUCCCAGACAGAACUAUCUGGUAGUCCCACUACAGGCCAGCCAGUCUCUGUGGCUGGAGCCAUCUUUUUCAGUUCCUUCAACUGGGUGUUCUCAUCUUCCCACUGCACCUUGGACUUGUCCUCUGACUUUCCCAAGGCCUUUGCCUUUGAUAGGAUUCUUAAAACACAUGCGCCACAUACACGUGCCACCGUGCCUUCAGCCUUCACCCAGCUCCAACACCUGUAAGAGCUCUACCCAAAAACAGCCGCUCUCCCUACAUGCUCACUCUCAGAAUGCUGGCCUUCCUUCCAUGCCUUCAAUAUAACCAGUCUCUCCCUGAAGACUCUCCAUUGAAGCUGAAGUUCUGCUUCUUUCUGACUCCUCUCAUCACUGGGGCUGGAUGUGGGAUGAAUGAAUUCUUUGAACAUCAAAACACAAACGUUUACAAAUAGUUCCAGCCGUCCUCUGUGUGUGUGCAUCUUAGCUAGGGGAAAGAAACACUGCUGUGUUACUGUCAAGUGAGCCUCAGAUGCUGCUGGGGAACUUUAGUAUCCCCAUUCAUUUACCACCCCCACCCCCCCAGACAGCUGUUUCUUCUCAAACUUCAAACAUUUCCCUGCAUACUCUGCACUAAUGACUUUGUCUGCUAUUUCACAGAAACGAACAGACACCAUCAAGAGAGUACUUCCAUGGGCUUUCCACCUCUGCAUGGUUGCUAGCCCUGCUGCCCACUGAGACCAUAUCUCCUACUGAUAUGUUCAAGGAUCCAUUCUUGAACUGAAUGAAAUUCUACCCCAGGAGGCUGAUUCCCAGUGUUGGCAUGGCAGUGUUCAGUGCUUUGAGGUGGUAACAGGCGUUCUUCCCCAUAGACCUGAGCUCUUCUCCCUACUACUUCUUCAAAUAUGAA